rnacentral:lncRNA from 1 species
GCUUGUGAUUGGACUCUUAGGUAAAGUGAGUCACUUGGUAAUUGUUGCUCAUUAAAUGUGUUAUAAAAGGUCAAUAUAAACUAUUUCUCAGAAGAAUAUCACACACAGCACAUGUUACUUUACAAUUGUACAAUGACUUGCUUCAAUUUAUUAUUGUUAUUGGCCAUUAUCUACAAAAGGGUGUCUCCGAUUUCAGAUAGAAUGUAUAGACCAAAUU